rnacentral:rRNA from 1 species
UACGGAAGGCAGCAGUGAGGAAUAUUGGUCAAUGGGUGCAAGCCUGAACCAGCCAUCCCGCGUGAAGGACGACUGCCCUAUGGGUUGUAAACUUCUUUUGUAUAGGGAUAAACCUACCCUCGUGAGGGUAGCUGAAGGUACUAUACGAAUAAGCACCGGCUAACUCCGUGCCAGCAGCCGCGGUAAUACGGAGGGUGCAAGCGUUAUCCGGAUUUAUUGGGUUUAAAAGGGUCCGUAGGCGGACUUAUAAGUCAGUGGUGAAAGCCUGUCGCUUAACGAUAGAACUGCCAUUUGAUACUGUAAAGUCUUGAGUAUAUUUUUGAGGUAGCUGGAAUAAGUAGUGUAGCGGUGAAAUGCAUAGAUAUUACUUAGAACACCAAUUGCGAAGGCAGGUUACCAAGAUAUAACUGACGCUGAGGGCGAAAAGCGUGGGGAGCGAACAGGGAUUAGAUACC